rnacentral:rRNA from 1 species
AGCUCUGUAAGCGUAUACCAAAGUUGUUGCAGUUAAAACGCUCGUAGUCGGAUUUUGGGGCAGCCCGUGCUGUGCGCGUAGUGCGUGCGGCGCUGGGGUGUCCUUUUGUGGAGGGCGGCGCGUCGUGGCUUCACUGUCGCGGCGUGUCGGCGCCACCGUUUACUGUGAAAAAAUUAGAGUGUUCAAAGCAGGCGUUUGCCGUGAAUACAUUAGCAUGGAAUAAUAGAAUAGGACUUGGUUUCUAUUUUGUUGGUUUGUGAGAGCCGAGUAAUGAUUAAGAGGGACGGUUGGGGGCAUUUGUAUUCCAGCGUCAGAGGUGAAAUUCUUGGAUUGCUGGAAGACAAACCGCUGCGAAAGCGUCUGCCAAGGACGUUUUCA